GUCCGUGUAGUUCAACUGGAUAGAAUAUCAGAUUUCGGCUCUGAGGGUUGGGGGUUCGAACCCUCCCGCGGACGCAA
rnacentral:tRNA from 10 species